AGAGUUUGAUCCUGGCUCAGAAUCAACGCUGGCGGCGUGCCUAACACAUGCAAGUCGAACGCGAAAGCCUCGCAAGGGGCAAGUAGAGUGGCGCACGGGUGAGUAACACGUGGAUAACCUGCCUUCAAGUGGGGAAUAACCUUCCGAAAGGAGGGCUAAUACCGCAUAAUACUUUUGGCCAAAAGGCUGAGAGUUGAAAAGAGCAAUUUGCUUGAAGAGGGGUCCGCGCCUGAUUAGCUAGUUGGUGAGGUAAUGGCUCACCAAGGCUUCGAUCAGUAGCCGUCCUGAGAGGGAGCACGGCCACACUGGAACUGAGACACGGUCCAGACUCCUACGGGAGGCAGCAGUGGGGAAUUUUUGGCAAUGGGCGAAAGCCUGACCAAGCAACGCCGCGUGGGUGAUGAAGUAUCUUGGUAUGUAAAACCCUUUCGGCAGGGACGAACUUAAUGACGGUACCUGCGAGAGCC
rnacentral:rRNA from 1 species